rnacentral:rRNA from 1 species
GACGAACGCUGGCGGCGUGCCUAACACAUGCAAGUCGAACGGGGUGUCGGGAGCUUGCUUCUGACACUUAGUGGCGAACGGGUGAGUAACGCGUGAGGAACCUGCCUUUCAGUGGGGGACAACAGUUGGAAACGACUGCUAAUACCGCAUAACAUAUUCGAGCGGCAUCGCUUGAAUAUCAAAGCUUUAUGUGCUGAAAGAUGGCCUCGCGUCUGAUUAGCUAGUUGGUGGGGUAACGGCCCACCAAGGCGACGAUCAGUAGCCGGUCUGAGAGGAUGAACGGCCACAUUGGGACUGAGAUACGGCCCAGACUCCUACGGGAGGCAGCAGUGGGGAAUAUUGGGGCAAUGGGCGAAAGCCUG